rnacentral:piRNA from 1 species
UGGGCUGACUGGGCAGUGGAAGUGAUAA